rnacentral:rRNA from 1 species
GUGGGGAUGACGUCAAAUCAUCAUGCCCCUUAUGACCUGGGCUACACACGUGCUACAAUGGACAGAACAAAGGGCUGCAAGACCGCAAGGUUUAGCCAAUCCCAUAAAUCUGUUCUCAGUUCGGAUCGCAGUCUGCAACUCGACUGCGUGAAGCUGGAAUCGCUAGUAAUCGCGGAUCAGCAUGCCGCGGUGAAUACGUUCCCGGGCCUUGUACACACCGCCCGUCACACCACGAGAGUUUGCAACACCCGAAGUCGGUGAGGUAACCUUUAUGGAGCCAGCCGCCG